UCCAUUAAUCAAGAACGAAAGUUAGAGGUUCGAAGGCGAUCAGAUACCGCCCUAGUUCUAACCAUAAACGAUGCCAGCCAGCGAUCCGGCUGUGUUCCUCAAAUGACACGCCGGGCAGCUUCCGGGAAACCAAAGCUUUUGGGUUCCGGGGGAAGUAUGGUUGCAAAGCUGAAACUUAAAGGAAUUGACGGAAGGGCACCACCAGGAAUGGAGCCUGCGGCUUAAUUUGACUCAACACGGGAAAACUUACCCGGCCCGGACACAGGAAGGAUUGACAGAUUAAGAGCUCUUUCUUGAUUCUGUGGGUGGUGGUGCAUGGCCGUUCUUAGUUGGUGGAGCGAUUUGUCUGGUUAAUUCCGAUAACGAACGAGACUCUAGCCUACUAAAUAGACGUUCCGAUCAUCUCCGUCGGACGUUCUUCUUAGAGGGACAAGCGGCGUUUAGCCGCACGAGACAGAGCAAUAACAGGUCUGUGAUGCCCUUAGAUGUCCGGGGCCGCACGCGCGCUACAUUGAAGGAAUCAGCGUGUGCUUUCCCUGUCCGACAGGACUGGGUAACCCGUUGAACCUCCUUCGUGCUGGGGAUAGGGGCUUGUAAUUGUUCCCCUUGAACGAGGAAUUCCCAGUAAGCACGAGUCAUAAGCUCGUGUUGAUUACGUCCCUGCCCUUUGUACACACCGCCCGUCGCUACUACCGAUUGAAUGAUUUAGUGAGGUCUUCGGACUGGCGCUCGGAGCGGCCCUCGGGUCGCGCCGGCGUGCCGGAAAGAUGACCAAACUUGAUCAUUUAGAGGAAGUAAAAGUCGUAACAAGGUUUCC
rnacentral:rRNA from 8 species